GAGGGMAAGYCUGGUGCCAGCAGCCGCGGUAAUUCCAGCUCCAGUAGCGUAUAUUAAAGUUGUUGCAGUUAAAAAGCUCGUAGUUGGAGUUGUUGUGUUGAAUGAUUGGUUUGUUUGUUUGUCGGUUGUUUGAGUUUUUUUGCUUGAGCGAUUUGAUGAAUGCUUACCGCAACACAAUCCUUGAUGUUAUGUAUGAGUAUUUUUUACUUUGUUCAGAGCAUCAUCCUUUACUUUGAAAAAAUUGGAGUGAUUCAAGCAGGCGAAAUUUCAUAUUAAAAUCUUUUUUUAAUAUACAUUCAUUUUUGCUUCUGCACAUGUUAGCAUGGAAUAAUGCAAGAGGACUUGGGUUUUCUCUUUCAUUGGUUUCAGGAAUCCGAGUAAUGAUUGAUAGGGACAGUUGGGGGUGCUCGUACUCGACGGCCAGAGGUGAAAUUCUUGGAUUCGUUGAAGACGAACAACUGCGAAAGCAUUCACCAAGGAUGUCUUCUUUAAUCAAGAACGAAAGUUGGGGGAUCGAAGAUGAUCAGAUACCGUCGUAGUCCCAACCAUAAACGAUGCCGACCAGGGAUCAGCGAGCGUUGACUUUGUAUAAAAAUGAUUUCGGUUAUUUUUAUUACAAACCUCAUUAAUUUGAAACGACCUCGUUGGCACCUUGCGAGAAAUCACCAGUCUUUGGGCUCCGGGGGGAGUAUGGUCGCAAGGCUGAAACUUAAAGGAAUUGACGGAAGGGCACAACCAGCAGUGGAGCCUGUGGUUUAAAUUGACUCAACACGGGAAAACUUACCAGGUCCAGACAUCAUAAGGAUUGACAGAUUGAAGAUCUUUCUUGAUUUGAUGGUUGGUGGUGCAUGGCCGUUCUUAGUUGGUGGAGUGAUUUGUCUGGUUAAUUCCGUUAACGAACGAGACCUCAACCUGCCAAAUAGGUUGUUUCUUUGUUGAAAUUUGUUUGAUGAAGAUGGGUGUUUGUUUUUUCUGACUCGGCUUUUUUGUUGAUGUUGGAGAGCGCAUCCAGAGCCAAAUGGAAUUUGUUUUCUGUUUGAUUCUGCAACACUUCUUGGAGGGACUAUCAGUUCGCAUCUGAUGGAGGUUUGAGGCAAUAACAGGUCUGUGAUGCCCUUCGAUGUCCUGGGCUACACGCGCGCUACACUGAUACAUGCAUCAAGCAGUUCAUUAUUUUAUAAGUUGGUUCAAUUGAUUUUGAAUUUGACUUUGACACCUUUGCUGAUAAGCUUGGGGAAUCUUUGAACUUGUAUCGUGAUGGGGAUAGAUGAUUGCAAUUAUUCAUCUUCAACGAGGAAUUCCUAGUAAACGCGGCUCAUCAAGCCGCAUUGAAUACGUCCCUGCCCUUUGUACACACCGCCCGUCGCUGCUACCGAUUGAAUGGUUCAGCAAGUUUUACGGGCUGGCGUCUUAUUUGAUUUUACGAUUGAAUGAGUUUUGGAUUUUUGAUAUUCGUAUUGAUUCCAUGUUUUUGCCGGGAAGUGACGCAAACUUGACCAUUUAGAGGAAGCAAAAGUCGUAACAAGG
rnacentral:rRNA from 2 species